rnacentral:SRP_RNA from 1 species
GCCAGGUGUGGUGGUGCACGCCUGUAGUCCCAGCUACUUGGGAGGCUGAAGCAGAAGAAUCGCUUGAACCCAGGAGGCAGAGGUUGCAGUGAGCUGAGAUCGUGCCACUGCACUCCAGCCUGGGCAACAGAGUGAGACUCUGUCUCAA